UACAGAGGUCUCAAGCGUUGUUCGGAUUCAUUGGGCGUAAAGGGUGCGUAGGCGGCGCGGUAAGUCGGGUGUGAAAUCUUGGAGCUUAACUCCGAAACUGCAUUCGAUACUGCCGUGCUUGAGGACUGGAGAGGAGACUGGAAUUUACGGUGUAGCGGUGAAAUGCGUAGAUAUCGUAAGGAAGACCAGUGGUGAAGGCGGGUCUCUGGACAGUUCCUGACGCUGAGGCACGAAGGUCAGGGGAGCAAACGGG
rnacentral:rRNA from 1 species